rnacentral:rRNA from 1 species
AGAGGCCCAAGUUGACAAAUGCCGGCGUAAAAUGUGGUUUAUACAGUAUUGCACUAAAGCUAAACUUCUUCAAAGCUGUCAUACGCACUCGAAGAAAAGAGGACCUUCCGCGAAAGUGGCUUUAAAUAAUAUUAACCCACGAAAGCUAGGAAACAAACUGGGAUUAGAUACCCCACUAUGCCUAGCCCUAAACACAAGUGACUACUUACACCCCUCGCUUGCCAGGGAACUACGAGCCCCAGCUUAAAACCCAAAGGACUUGGCGGUGCUUUAGACCCACCUAGAGGAGCCUGUUCUAGAACCGAUAACCCCCGUUAAACCUCACCCUCCCUUGUCACUCCCGCCUAUAUACCGCCGUCGUCAGCUUACCCUGUGAGGGACUCAUAGUGAGCAUAAUUGGCAUAGCCUAAAACGCCAGGUCGAGGUGUAGCGUACGAGAGGGGAAGAAAUGGGCUACAUUCACUGCACCAGUGAAAACGAAUGAUGCUUUGAAACAAGCAUUUAAAGGAGGAUUUAGCAGUAAGGAGGGAAUAGAGUGCCCUUCUGAAACUGGCCCUGAAGCGCGCACACACCGCCCGUCACUCUCCCCAAAAUAGUAGGCAAAUUUUAAAUAAACAAAAUCCUAGACAAAGGGGAGGCAAGUCGUAACAUGGUAAGUGUACCGGAAGGUGCACUUGGAAAAACC